UGAGAACGAGUACAAACUGAGAACAUGAUAGAAAUGAAAAGUAUAAAAGGAAGGCUCAGAAAAAAAAGCUUAGAAAAGAACAAAUCGUUAAGAAGAAAAACAGAAAUGGAAAUUUUCCAAAGAGGUGGUUGGCUUACAUUUUUGAAAACUGGAAACAAUGAAAAAGAGGAGGCUUGUGUUAAACAUAAUGCACAUAAAAUUCACAAGAAGGAUAUUACACAUUUGAUGUAAUUACUCAUCCAAACAAUGAAAACGUGCAAAACUGUUACUGGCAUCAAGCCUCUGUUUGUACAGCUCAAAGAAAAUCCCUGUGCUUUCACAUCUUUUCCUGCAUGCAGACUGAACUAUAAUACAAGAUAAUUAGAGUGUGUGAGGACCCGGUUUGACUCCUGCCCCAGGCCUUGUGUUGGGAAGCAUUGGGGAAGAGGGCUGCCAGGAGAUAUGCAAUGCCCCUGAGCAAAGAAGCUGAAGACCUAGGGAAGAAAACCCUUCAAAGUUCUCUGCGUAUUAAUCCACCCAGUGGAAACUUCUGCAAUUCAGGGAGGAAGUUCUUCAGAAUCACAAUCAGACGGUGGAGUGCUGCUUCGGCUAAUUUUCUAUGGUGGUUUCCAGAAAUGCAAUCCUAAUCUAUGUUUACUCAUUCUUCUCAUACAGAAUCAUUAACCCUGCUCUCCCCCAGUUUGUUAAUGCACAUGUGAGUCCCACCGGGUAUCACCCAGCUUUUUCCUUAAUCACCAUGAGCCGCGUAUAAACCUGCCUCCCUCUCCGAAGCGCUCUGUUUACCCACCCUUAUCACCUCCCACAGUCUGCUCAGCUACCGGAGACUCUGUGACAAGGGGCCAUAAACGUGACACUGUCCUUGAAAGAUAUCAGUAAAAUUUUACAUUAUUAUCCUGAUUGUGGCGGGGGGGGGGGGGGGGGUUGGAAAGACGCUUCAAAGGGAGUCAGAUUAUUUUCUUUUGUCAGAGGUUAAAUGGAUAAUUAAUUUGCAUCUGUGCCUUUCCACAGCCAUUUUACACCUGUCUGAUAGAAUAAAUUAUAAACCAUGAAAAAGAAAACAGUUCCCUUAUUUGAACAGUGCUGAAUAAAAUCUUUGAAAGUGUU